AGCUAAGCUAGAUUGACAAUGAGAAGAGCUGAAGUGAAGGUUUUUUUUUUGUUUUUUAGAAACAAUGACAGAGGCACUGCCUUAUUUAAAAAAAAAGGCUAGACACUGGGGAAGUACCAAUGUC
rnacentral:snRNA from 1 species